rnacentral:rRNA from 1 species
AUGCUCGGGUCGGAUGGAAGCGGCAAGGUGCGCUUGCUCCACGCCGCGGUCGUCACGGCGGCGACCUGUGUCAGCGGACUCCCGACAAGCUUCUUGAACCGGUACAUCUUGGUGCCGCACAGGAACACGCCGAGCCCGGCGAGGAUGCCGACGGCGCAGAUGCCGUAUCCCCAGCGGCGGCCGAUGUUGUCCUGCACGUACACCAGCACGGUGACGGCGAGCAGCGCGCCGAUGCUGACGAAGAAGUAG